rnacentral:rRNA from 1 species
GUGACCUAACCAUAUGGGAGGAGCCGUCGAAGGUGAAACCGAUGACUGGGGUGAAGUCGUAACAAGGUAGCCGUAUCGGAAGGUGCGGCUGGAUCACCUCCUUUCUAAGGAA